GACCCCUGGGCUAACAGCCCAAGGGACACACCUCAAUGGCCCCCACCUGUGUCCAUAUCAGCACGCCUGGACCAGCUCAGAGCAACGGCCCCCACCAAUGUCUCAGUCUCCAGAGAGGAUCCUCCUCUCACCAAGAUUCCCCCAGAGCCCACCAGAAUUCCAUCCCAACUUCUUCAAACCAGAAAGACUGACAGAGUUUGCAUGGUUGCUUCCUCCCUGGAUCAUGACUCAGAAACAUUCUCCAGGAAAUAAUAUGCAAAGAGAUCACAUCUGGAAUGACAGCUGCAGUGGAAGACACCACCUGGUAUAUAUACACUAAUCCACUAUCUUCUUCCAAGACGCAUCUCUCUUUUGCAUUCACUGAAAAGGAACUAUGAGUCCACAAACGGUCUCAGAUAUUGGAACACAAAGACCAUGACAACUUUUGUUACAAUGGCUCAUGAGAGGCCUAGUUUCAACAGAACCAGAUCUUUUUCAUUGAGGUUUUAAGUAGAAUCUUUCAUGACAUGAAGAAAAUUCAAGUUCUUCUUCCAAUAACAUAUGAUGAAUGAAAAUUCAAAAGAAGACCUAGUUUACAUGUUCAUAAACACGUAUAAAGUUAUGGGAAGCAGCAAAUAGAACGCUGUAUGAGCUGACUCUGAAAACGUAAAACACCAGGAAAAACCCAACCAGCUAUGGAAUGUAUUAGAGAACAAGCUACAUGUUGCUAGUUGAAAAAUAAAAAAGAAAAGAAUUUUCAGCUGCUCCAGGAAAAUUCAUGAAGAAGAAUCAACCCUGUAGGUCAAACACUACGAUCAAGACAUUAUCCUUUACCAUUUCCCACUGGCUGUGGAGAACAGGCUCAGGAUUUUCAAUAGACUCUCUCAAUGGAUCAAAUUCUAGC
rnacentral:lncRNA from 1 species